GACGAACGCUGGCGGCGUGCUUAACACAUGCAAGUCGUACGGUAAGGCCCUUUCGGGGGUACACGAGUGGCGAACGGGUGAGUAACACGUGCGUAACCUGCCCACAACUUUGGGAUAACGCUAGGAAACUGGUGCUAAUACUGGAUAUGUGCUUCUGCUGCAUGGUGGGGGUUGGAAAGCUCCGGCGGUUGUGGAUGGACUCGCGGCCCAUCAGCUUGUUGGGGGGGUAGUGGCCUACCAAGGCGGCGACGGGUAGCCGGCCUGAGAGGGUGACCGGCCACAUUGGGACUGAGAUACGGCCCAGACUCCUACGGGGGGCAGCAGGGGGGAAUAUUGCACAAUGGGCGCAAGCCUGAUGCAGCAACGCCGCGGGCGGGAUGACGGCCUUCGGGUUGUAAACCGCUUUCAGCAGGGACGAAGCUUUUUGUGACGGUACCUGCAGAAGAAGCACCGGCUAACUACGUG
rnacentral:rRNA from 1 species